ACACAACAUCCCGUAGUAUCCAUGCGUCCGUUUAGUUGUCCAUGCCAAGUCCAUGCGUUGUCCGUUUCCCGCUGUCGGCCAUGUUUUCUUUGUGUCGCACAAACAAUAAAUUGUGUGUAUUGAUAGCCUGAUAUUAUAGGCCAACAACCCGAGGUCGCAUUAGUAAUAAUUUGCUGCGACAUAGUUCAUUCUGUACUGCUUAGAAUACAUAACUGGACCGCAGAAAUACCGCUUGGUCAUCAGAAUGCUCAGUGAAAGCAAUAUAUGCUAUAAGGAUGUUUACAACAUCAGAUGCUCUAGAGAGACUACCAAACUUCAGCUACAUUCUUACACAUUCCGGACAGUUGACAUAGCGGUCUCUGUAGCAAGCAUCUGCAAAUGAUGUGAAUUUUAAGGGUUGUAUGCUGACUUCAGUGCAAAUUAAGCUAUGCCCAGAUCGGAUGAUGCAUUUUGAACAAGUCAGAACUACAUCAACUUGCUUAUGGCGACAGUCUGUUGAGGGCAAACUGUAAGCAACGAGCCUCUACUGAACAGGAGUGAGGCCAGAAGGGUUUCUGAAGAUAGGAGGCUUGGCAUCAUCAUGAUCAUCUCCUAGCCGUUUUCGGCUACAGCGACUGCUUUUCUACCGCUGAGAGCGUUGCUGGUGCGCUCUCAGGUGACUGACGUAGUCAAUCUUUGCAGAAAAUGUGCGGCCACACUCGCUGCAGGUCAGCACCCCUCCGUCGUAAUUAUACGUGAUGGCCACAGGAGGACUGGCCUUUAGCUCGUCACGCUUAGCGUCGCUUGUGAAGGCCCUCUGCACAUCUGGGGUGCCUUACGACAACAACAACUUGUUCCUGUCGCACAUGUCCAAAAAAAUAUGGCUUGAACGAUGGGCAAGCAGAAAAUGAUCAUCCUGCUAUUAUUCUAUGGAACAUGAGAUGGAUGCUAAGACUGGGUUACCAUUACCAAAACCAGUGAAAGAUUGUUAUUCUAACGCUACUACACCUACCAAAGGCAAAAUAAUUGUAUGAACAAACUAACACUUUAUAAACACUGGGAUCAGAAGGUUGGAAUUGUCAAUUUAAAGUCACUGAAUAUCACAUAAAAGUUAUACAUUUGUUAUAUCAAAAACUAUAAUUAUAGGAUUAACAUUGAAGGUCAAUUAUAUCAAUAAAUUUAGUAAAACUGUUACAGUAAUUUACAAGUACGUUUACACGUUUGGAAACUACCGGGCAGGUCGUAAGACGGGGAGCAACUGGCGAGGCCCGCACCUCGCGGCUCGCAUCUAGAAUGUAUUGUCAGCAUUCCUGUUACAUAAGAAGAUUAAUUUGUUUUGGCUUACAUGGAAAAAUGAUUGUAUUUAACUUUUGAAACAAAACGAAAUUUCCUUCACUGAAAACAAAUGGGGAUACAAAAGUUUUCAAUGCUAAGUAAUGAAGAAAAUUUGGACGUUUGUGUUA